AUUGAACGCUGGCGGCAGGCCUAACACAUGCAAGUCGAACGAGUGGCGGAAGGGUGAGUAAUGUCUGGGAAACUGCAUGAUGGAGGGGGAUAACUACUGACAACGGUAGCUAAUAACGCAUACCAUCGGAUGUGCCACACUGGGAUUAGCUAGUAGGUGGGGUAACGGCUAACCUAGGCGACGAUCCCUAGAUGGUCUGAGAGGCGGACCAGACAUGCUGGAACUGAGACACGGUCCAGACUCCUACGGGAGGCAGCAGUGGGGAAGAUUGCACAAUGGGCGCAAGCCUGAUGCAGCCAUGCCGCGUGGAGGAAGAAGGCCUUCGGGUUGUAAAGUACUUUCAGCGGGGAGGCGUUACCCGCAGAAGCAGCACCGGCUAACUCCGUGCCAGCAGCCGCGGUAAUUC
rnacentral:rRNA from 1 species